rnacentral:rRNA from 1 species
ACUACGGGGGGCAGCAGUGGGGAAUAUUGCACAAUGGGGGAAACCCUGAUGCAGCGACGCCGCGUGAGCGAGGAAGUAUUUCGGUAUGUAAAGCCCUAUCAGCAGGGACGAAAAAAGACGGUACCUGACUAAGAAGCCCCGGCUAACUACGUGCCAGCAGCCGCGGUAAUACGUAGGGGGCAAGCGUUAUCCGGAUUUACUGGGGGUAAAGGGAGCGUAGACGGCAAGGCAAGCCAGAAGUGAAAGGGCAGGGCUCAACCCUGUACAUGCUUUUGGAACUGUGGUGCUAGAGUGCAGGAGAGGUAAGUGGAAUUCCUAGUGUAGCGGUGAAAUGCGUAGAUAUUAGGAAGAACACCAGUGGCGAAGGCGGAUUACUGGACGAUAACUGACGGUGAGGCGCGAAAGCGUGGGGAGCAAACAGGAUUAGAUACCCCUGUAGUC